CCUACGGGUGGCAGCAGUGGGGGAUAUUGCACAAUGGGGGAAACCCUGAUGCAGCGACGCCGCGUGAGUGAAGAAGUAUUUCGGUAUGUAAAGCUCUAUCAGCAGGGAAGAAAAUGACAGUACCUGACCAAGAAGCCCCGGCUAACUACGUGCCAGCAGCCGCUGUAAUACGGAGGGGGCAGGCGUUAUCCGGAUUUACUGGGUGUAAAGGGAGGGUAGGUGGUUAUGUAGGUCUGGAGUGAAAGCCCGGGGCCCAAGUCGGGGACUGCUUUGGAAACUGUGUAACUGGAGUGCAGGGGGGGCAGGCGGAAUUCCUGGGGUAGCGGUGAAAUGCGUAGAUAUCAGGAGGAACACCGGCGGCGAAGGAGGCCUGCGGGACUGCAACUGACGUUGAGGCUCGAAAGCGUGGGGAGCAAACAGGAUGAGAUACCCCAGUAGUC
rnacentral:rRNA from 1 species